rnacentral:rRNA from 1 species
AACGAACGCUGGCGGCAGGCUUAACACAUGCAAGUCGAACGCAUCCUUCGGGGUGAGUGGCAGACGGGUGAGUAACGCGUGGGAACGUGCCCUUCAGUUCGGAAUAACCCAGGGAAACUUGGGCUAAUACCGGAUACGUGCGAGAGCAGAAAGAUUUAUCGCUGAAGGAUCGGCCCGCGUCUGAUUAGCCAGUUGGUGAGGUUAUGGCUCACCAAGGCGACGAUCAGUAGCUGGUCUGAGAGGAUGAUCAGCCACAUUGGGACUGAGACACGGCCCAAACGCCUACGGGAGGCAGCAGUGGGGAAUAUUGGACAAUGGGCGCAAGCCUGAUCCAGCCAUGCCGCGUGAGUGAUGAAGGCCUUAGGGUUGUAAAGCUCUUUCAGUGGGGACGAUAAUGACGGUACCCGCAGAAGAAGCCCCGGCUAACUUCGUGCCAGCCGCCGCCGUAA